rnacentral:misc_RNA from 1 species
GAUGAAGAACGUAGCGAAAUGCGAUAAGUAAUGUGAAUUGCAGAAUUCAGUGAAUCAUCGAAUCUUUGAACGCACAUUGCGCCCGCCAGUAUUCUGGCGAGCAUGCCUGUCUGAGCGUCAUUUCAACCCUCAUGCCCCUAGGGCGUGGUGUUGGGGAUCGGCCAAAGCCCGCGAGGGACGGCCGGCCCCUAAAUCUAGUGACGGACCCGUCGUGGCCUCCUCUGCGAAGUAGUGAUAUUCCGCAUCGGAGAGCGAUGAGCCCCUGCCGUUAAACCCCCAACUUUCCAAGGUUGACCUCAGAUCAGGUAGGAAUACCCGCUGAACUUAAGCAUAUCAAUAAGCGGAGGA